rnacentral:lncRNA from 1 species
GAAUUGCAUUUCUGCCGCUAAAGCGUUCGCGGAGACUUCAAGGUAUAAUCUAUCCCAGAUCCUUUCCCAGAGAGAAACUUGGCGAUCACGUUUCCACAUGAUGCUCACGUUUGGUGCUCUCCAAUUAUCCCUCCCCACAAAGAUAGGUGGCGUGUGUUGCAGGGUCUCUCCUCUCGCUCGUACAGAAAAGAAAAAGAAAAAAAUGUCAUUAGAAGAGGCGUAACACGUCAGUCCGUCCCCAGGAGCUGCAUCUCCCUUCACCUUUUCUCCUCCACUUCGCGGCUUCUUCAUGCUUUUUCUUCUCACCAUUUCUGGCCAAAACUACAAACAAGACUUCGCAGAGCCUGCGUGCUGCUGCUGCUGCCGCCGCCGCUGCUGCUGCUGAAUCAGGGAGUCGAGCCCAUGCGAACUGCCAUCUGAUCCACUCUUAUCAAUGAAGCAGCAGAUCAUGGCGGAUGGCCCCAGGUGUAAGAGGCGAAAACAAGCCAACCCCCGGAGGAAAAACGGUAAGACGGCCCCCCGGGAAAACUUUUCCGGCCGGCUCCGGCGCGGCCGCGGGGGGAAAGGCGGCGGCAGG